rnacentral:rRNA from 1 species
CCUACGGGAGGCAGCAGUGGGGAAUUUUGGACAAUGGGCGAAAGCCUGAUCCAGCCAUGCCGCGUGCGGGAAGAAGGCCUUCGGGUUGUAGACCGCUUUUGUCAGGGAAGAAAUCCUUUGAGUUAAUACCUCGGGGGGAUGACGGUACCUGAAGAAUAAGCACCGGCUAACUACGUGCCAGCAGCCGCGGUAAUACGUAGGGUGCGAGCGUUAAUCGGAAUUACUGGGCGUAAAGCGUGCGCAGGCGGUUAUGCAAGACAGAUGUGAAAUCCCCGGGCUCAACCUGGGAACUGCAUUUGUGACUGCAUAGCUAGAGUACGGUAGAGGGGGAUGGAAUUCCGCGUGUAGCAGUGAAAUGCGUAGAUAUGCGGAGGAACACCGAUGGCGAAGGCAAUCCCCUGGACCUGUACUGACGCUCAUGCACGAAAGCGUGGGGAGCAAACAGGGGUUAGAUACCCUGGUAGUCCACGCCCUAAACGAUGUCAACUGGUUGUUGGACCGGNUUGNUGUNUAGUAAGAAGACUACGCGUGAGUGACCGCCGNGGGAGGACGGCCGCGAGUUAGAACGUANAAUUAGAGUUAGAGGCGNGAGAGNGCGAGACGACGACGAGGAGGAGG